UUCAUAAGUUUAAAUCUAACGGUCAUCAUUGAUCAAAUAUUCUUAUGGUGUGCACGUAGCAAUUUUGGAUGACUGACCGUAUUGCACCAGGAGAGGCUGCGCCCGCUGCGAUCCCGCGUCCCCUACAAUCACGGAAGGCAAUGAUCCUGAUGCUAAAAUCACGCAAGUGAUUUUCCUUCUAUGCAUCAUGUCCUACCUCCUGCCGCUUCUAAACUCAAACACACGCACACGAAGCCUCAUCGUGGAUCAUCUAAAAAAUUGCGGGCGCUACAAUCAGGCGCCCCCGUUGCCGUCCUUGGGAGCGGCUCGCCGCCCGGCGGUCCUCCACUCGGCCACCGCCUUAUGCACACCAGCUUCUCCUUACGCGCGGAGUCCCCAACUACUGGGCCAUGCGGGAGAGUGCGGGUCACGUGGCUCGAGGCGGUCGGGGAUGCGGGGAUCCAGGUGUCGGCGGCGGAUCUCGCUGGAUCCGUUGAAGGCGACAGCGGUGACAGCUUGCGGCGGAGUGAGGCGACACGGAGUAGCCCGGGAGGACGUGGCACUUCUGUCGGUGAUGGGAAGAUGCGGAGGCGACCGGAUCUAGGGCGGCGGCGGUGGUUGCAGUUGCAGGCGGCGGCGGUGGCAGUUCUUCUCCAGCAUUUCUGACACCAACAAGGCCGUCGGGAGGUCCCGGCUCGCCAACCAGCAACUAUACGGCAAAGCCUGGUGACGCGUGGGCGGAACCUCUUCCCACUGCUCCCGCAGGCGUUCAAGGGCAUCAAGCAGAUGGUCAUCAAGACCUGUAUUCUUUUGCCCCCUUUUGUCAAAGGUAAAGAAUGUUGCUGGAGACUAUACGACCUCCCAGCGACGUGUACCAAGACCACGACUGAGAUUUGAAAAAAUAGUGUUGACCUUGAUGAAAAAAGGAACAUCUACCCUGAAAACUGCAUAGAGGCGGCAUUGAAACUAUCCCUGGGCUGGGCUACAGUUCUUGAACUUUACUGAAGGUCGUAGCCCCGUCGAAGGCAAUGGCAAUGUAGAUGCCGAUGUCAAAGCCCUUGUUGUCAACCCCUUGCUACAAAAACUAAUGGAUUUUCUUUCCAGACUGAAGGCAUACCCUUACAUGAGCGACGAUGAUUAUUCUGCUUUUUUGCAAACCACGCAAGAUUUUUGCAGCGACAGGACCAUGACCCCUCGAGAAAUUUACAAAAACGUGCCUAUUAGUUCUUGUGAAACUGUGUGCUAAGUAAUUUUGCAGUGAUUUCUCCGAGGAAGAUUUGAGUGUUUGAUUCAUAAUUCCUUCUUCGUAGGUGAAGAGAUGUAUGAGUAACUGUCAAGUUGUUGGAAUAGUUUGUGGAUAAUUAUCUCCCUACAGACCUAAAGGCAUUUCUAAGAGUUAAAGCAUAUGAUAAUCACAACUUGGAUGGUAUCCAUAUGAAAGAAGGUGCGCAGAAGUUUCUACCCUCCUGCCUUGAAUACAAACAGUUCCCAGGUUCUUUGUUUCAGCAUUCACCUAUGGUAACCAGAUGCAAGUAUCCAUCCUUUUUCUAUGAAUUACUCCCAAAAAUGCAAUUUGCAGUCCGCAACUUGAGCUAUUAUCUGUUUAUUUUUUACUUCCUAGCUAUUGAUCAGUACAUGAAUAUCGUCAUGCUAUCAUUCAGCAGCCGGAUCAGUAACUUCAUAUAUGUACUAUUUUCUGAUCAAGUAAAUUCAUAUAUGUACUCAUCUCUGAUUGGUAGCGUCAUUAUGCCGCCGCUUGAAGAUAAACAGGCAUUUACUCUUUAUUCAGUUAAUAAACUAUUGUUUGUUUGUUUUUUCUUGUGCUGAUGAUGAUCCUAAGCGUGAUGAUCUGUUGGUGAGUCAGAAUAAUUCUUAUAGAUCGAAGUUAGCACCUAUCGUAUGUGGGUUUAAAAAUUAUAAAAUUAUGAGAAUAGACAAAAACGCUCAUCGUUAAAAUUAUUUGUGUAUUUUUAAGGAGAGUUGUCGAAUGUGGUGGUACCCAUAUGACUGGUGUCGCGGAUAUAAAUUGUCUUCUUAGGAUGAGUUGAGUUGUCGAAUUUCAUUCCAUGCUUGAGCUUGAUAAUGAUAUUUACUUUUAAUGGGCUUUGUAAUGUGCUUUCAUUGAAUUAUGUGAGUAGAGAUGCACAAUGUGCGUACCUGUCAGGUUUAGCUCAACUCGUUGUUAUUGGGGUAGUAGAAUGAGUCCUCCGAGCUUGCUAAAUGUUUUUUUUAUAUAUAAGUACUGCAUGCGUGAUUAUUCUUAUUGCUUAUUACUUCAAAUUUUGUCUGCUAAUUGUCUCAGCAAAAAAUAUAUUAAGUGUUCCCUUUAUAUUUCAUUUUUGUAGCCUCUAUUGUACUCUGCACCCCUACAAGAAUGAAAUUAGUUCAUGUUCUUACAUACUUAUUUAAAGCAUUUAUAUAAAAGGAAUGUGGUAACCCAUUUAAAUGAGGGGAUUAUUAUGCCUCCAACUUGUGCUUACCAUGUGUGAGUCAGGAUUCAGGAGGCCUAAUGAUGUGGAGCAUCCUAUGGACGUCACCAUGUCAAGAGUCCGUUCGGCAAGUGACACGUGCGACAUCUACUUCACAUACACAAAGGUGAAUCAUCUCCUUUACACGUGCUCAC